rnacentral:rRNA from 1 species
GACGAACGCUGGCGGCGUGCUUAACACAUGCAAGUCGAACGGACAGGCCCUGCUUUUGUGGGGUGCUCGAGUGGCGAACGGGUGAGUAACACGUGAGUAACCUGCCCUUGACUUUGGGAUAACUUCAGGAAACUGGGGCUAAUACCCGAUAGGAGCUCCUGCUGCAUGGGGGGGGUUGGAAAGUUUCGGCGGUUGGGGCUGGACUCGCGGGUUAUCAGCUUGUUGGUGGGGUAGUGGCUUACCAAGGCUUUGACGGGUAGCCGGCCUGAGAGGGUGGCCGGCCUCAUUGGGACUGAGAGACGGCCCAGACUGCUACGGGAGGCAGAAGUGGGGAAUAUUGCACAAUAGGCGGAAGCCUGAGGCAGCAACGCCGCGUGCGGGAUGACGGCCUUCGGGUGGUAAACCUCUGUCGCCUGUGACGAAGCGUGAGUGACGGUAAUGGGUAAAGAAGCACCGGCUAACUACGUG